rnacentral:misc_RNA from 1 species
AGAAAAUUUAGUCAAAUCCUGUCUGUUGACUUUUCUAUUCCUAUUUUCUUCAUGAUACCUAUAAAUAUGUGAUAUUUAGACAUAUUUUUGGAUCAAUAAUAAUCAGUCAUUCAAAGUUUUUAAGAAGUUGCGGGAAUUUUUCCAGGUUUUAGUCUAGUGUUAAACCUUUUUUCUUUUCUUUCUCGCUUCAGUCAUUGAUUUCUGGAGCAAUGCACUUGAUAAAGGUGAAUUGGAUUUUAUUCUUCUCUAUACGUACAUGAUAUCAUGGUUGAGUGAUAUUGUCAAUGCUUUUUACAUCUAAUGUAUAUGAGAAUUAACUUGUUAAUAUUUGUAUUUAUUACAUUUCUGCAAUAAGUUAUGUAUGAAUGGUU